rnacentral:rRNA from 1 species
CACACCGCCCGUCAAGUCAUGGGAGUUGGUUUCACCCGAAGUCGCUCACCCAACCGCAAGGAGGGAGGCGCCUAAGGUGAGGCUGAUGACUGGGACU